ensembl:lncRNA
CACAGCCCACUUAGCAGAGCUAGAGGCAGUAUAAAAGUUGCUUGGUUCUGUAGUCCAUCACUCGCUCAGAGUUGCGCUGUUGAACGUGUCAUCAGAACCAAGAAGGGGCCACUGCACAGAGAUGUGUUCCCGACAGAGCUCCGGAGGCUGCCAUGAGUCAUCUUCCCAGUCCGGGGGAUGCUGCAGUGGGGGCAGCUCCUCCAGCUACCAGGCACAGGGCUCCUCCUGCUGCGGGGGCUCCUCGGGAUACAGCAUGGGAGGAGGAUACAGUGGUGGCAGUGGGGGAUCGAGCCAGAAGAUCAUCAUUAGCUCAGGAGGAGGAGGAGGAGGUUCGUCUGGAUGCUGUGGUGGAGGAUCCAGCAGUGGUGGGUCUUCAGGAGGCAAGAUCAUCAUUGGAGGAGGUGGAAGUAGUGGGGGAUCCUCUGGGUGCUGCAGUGGAGGCUCCUCGGGCUACGGAAUAGGAGGAGGAUACAGCAGUGGUGGUUACUCGGGAUCCAAGAGCAUCAUUGGAGGAGGUGGAAGCAGUGGUGGAUCCUCUGGAUGCUGUGGUGGAGGAUCCAGCAGUGGUGGGUCUUCAGGUGGCAAGAUCAUAAUUACUGGAGGUGGGAGCAGUGGGGGAUCCUCUGGGUGCUGCAGUGGAGGCUCCUCGGGCUACGGAAUAGGAGGAGGAUACAGCAGUGGUGGUUACUCGGGAUCCAAGAGCAUCAUUGGAGGAGGUGGAAGCAGUGGUGGAUCCUCUGGAUGCUGUGGUGGGGGAUCCAGCAGUGGUGGGUCUUCAGGUGGCAAGAUCAUAAUUACAGGAGGUGGAAGCAGUGGAGGAUCCUCAGGAUGCUGUAGUGGGGGAUCCAGCUACGGGGGUGGAUAUAGCAGUGGAUCAUCAGGAUCGAAGAGCAUCAUUGGAGGUGGAAGCAGUGGAGGUUCCUCUGGAUGCUGCGGUGGUGGCUCUUCUGGCUAUGGCACUUCAGGCUAUGGCUCUUCCAGCUAUGGCAGUGGGGGAUCAGGCCAGAAGAUCAUCAUUAGCUCUGGAGGAGGAGGAGGAGGUGGCUCAUCUGGAUGCUGUGGUGGGGGAUCCAGCAGUGGUGGCUCUUCAGGUGGCAAGAUCAUAAUUACAGGAGGUGGAAGCAGUGGGGGAUCCUCUGGGUGCUGCAGUGGAGGCUCCUCGGGCUACGGAAUAGGAGGAGGAUACAGCAGUGGUGGUUACUCAGGCUCCAAGAGCAUCAUUGGAGGAGGUGGAAGCAGUGGUGGAUCCUCUGGUUGCUGUGGUGGGGGAUCCAGCAGUAGUGGCUCUUCAGGAGGAAAGAUCAUAAUUACUGGAGGUGGGAGCAGUGGGGGAUCCUCUGGGUGCUGCAGUGGAGGCUCCUCGGGCUACGGAAUAGGAGGAGGAUACAGCAGUGGUGGUUACUCAGGAUCCAAGAGCAUCAUUGGAGGAGGUGGAAGCAGUGGGGGAUCCUCUGGGUGCUGCAGUGGAGGCUCCUCGGGCUACGGAAUAGGAGGAGGAUACAGCAGUGGUGGUUACUCGGGAUCCAAGAGCAUCAUUGGAGGAGGUGGAAGCAGUGGUGGAUCCUCUGGAUGCUGUGGUGGGGGAUCCAGCAGUGGUGGGUCUUCAGGUGGCAAGAUCAUAAUUACAGGAGGUGGAAGCAGUGGGGGAUCCUCUGGGUGCUGCAGUGGAGGCUCCUCGGGCUACGGAAUAGGAGGAGGAUACAGCAGUGGUGGUUACUCGGGAUCCAAGAGCAUCAUUGGAGGAGGUGGAAGCAGUGGUGGAUCCUCUGGUUGCUGUGGUGGAGGAUCCAGCGGUGGUGGGUCUUCAGAAGGAAAGAUCAUCAUUACUGGAGGUGGGAGCAGUGGUGGAUCCUCUGGAUGCUGUAGUGGGGGAUCCAGCUACGGGGGUGGAUAUAGCAGUGGUUAUUCAGGAUCCAAGAGCAUCAUUGGAGGUGGAAGCAGUGGUGGUUCCUCUGGAUGCUGCGGUGGUGGCUCUUCUGGCUAUGGCUCUUCCAGCUAUGGCAGUGGGGGAUCAGGCCAGAAGAUCAUCGUUAGCUCUGGAGGUGGAGGAGGUGGCUCAUCUGGAUGCUGUGGUGGGGGAUCCAGCAGUGGUGGAUCUUCCGGAGGCAAGAUCAUUGUUGGAGGAGGUGGAAGCAGUGGGGGAUCCUCCGGAUGCUGCGGUGGGGGAUCCAGUGGGGGCAGUGGCGGUUCCUCGGGCCACACCAUCAUCAUCAGCUCCGGAGGAGGCAGUGGUGGGUACGGCCAGUCCUCGCAGCAGAAAUGUCCCAUUGUCAUUCCUCACAUCGAGAGCCACCAGACCAAGCAGGCCUGCUACUUUCCUGGCCAGCAGAAGUGACCGCCCCGGGCAGCGCAGCACUCAGCAGGAACAGCCCUGCCUCUGUUUUCCAUGUUUGUCUACUUCCCCACCAUGUGUCCUCUUCUCAAUCCUUGAUGCUCCAUCACUAUGCCAUGAACUCUGGGCUUAACAACCUUUUGCUCCGUGCUGGUGUUGUGAUUUCUUUGGUCAAAUUGUGCUCCAUUUUCAGUAAGGAUUUGUAGUACCUAAUAAAUAUCACGACAUCAC